rnacentral:rRNA from 1 species
UCGGAUGCUGACGAGUGGCGAACGGGUGAGUAAUACAUCGGAACGUGCCCGAUCGUGGGGGAUAACGAAGCGAAAGCUUUGCUAAUACCGCAUACGAUCUACGGAUGAAAGCAGGGGACCGCAAGGCCUUGCGCGAACGGAGCGGCCGAUGGCAGAUUAGGUAGUUGGUGGGAUAAAAGCUUACCAAGCCGACGAUCUGUAGCUGGUCUGAGAGGACGACCAGCCACACUGGGACUGAGACACGGCCCAGACUCCUACGGGAGGCAGCAGUGGGGAAUUUUGGACAAUGGGCGAAAGCCUGAUCCAGCCAUGCCGCGUGCAGGAUGAAGGCCUUCGGGUUGUAAACUGCUUUUGUACGGAACGAAAAGACUCUGGUUAAUACCUGGGGUCCAUGACGGUACCGUAAGAAUAAGCACCGGCUAACUACGUGCCAGCAGCCGCGGUAAUACGUAGGGUGCAAGCGUUAAUCGGAAUUACUGGGCGUAAAGCGUG